rnacentral:misc_RNA from 1 species
AUUGUUGUAGGGUGAUAAUAAGGGGGCAGAAAUCAAUUGCAAAGUGAUUGAUUUUCUUCAUCACAAUAAUUGCUCUAAAGUGAUAAACAGAUAGGUGGUACAGAGAAUCAGAUUGCUUCUGGUGAUUAUAUCAAGGAAGUGAAUACUCACUGGGUUAGGUUCAAUUAUCAUUGGAUUUGUAUUGAUGUUUGAUUAAACUUUUACUACAAUUGUAACACUUUCAAAUUUCAGUUCAAUGGAUAUUUCACAAUUAUUUUGAUCC